CUGAGAGCAGGUUAAAAUAGACUAAGACUCUCCCACUGGCUCUUAUGUCCAUCAGAUCAACCCCCAGAAAAAAACUAAAGCUCAGCCCUUACGAGCUGCUGUUUGGACACCCUGUUCCCCAACAUUUCCCCUUACUACCGGCUCACACUUCUUCUCUUUUAGGCGAUGAAGAACUCACCUCUUAUAUUUUAUCUCUACAGUCUCAGUUAAAAUCUCUCCAUAGGUAUGCUGCUUUAAGCCAACCCCCCCCUGCCGAUGUCCCAGCACAUCGCAUCCAGCCUGGAGACUGGAUAUAUAUAAAAACUUAAAAACGGUCUCCCCUUGAACCUAAGUGGCAAGGACCAUAUCAAGUCCUCCUCACCUCCCACACCGCCGUAAAGAUAACAAAAAAGGACAACUGGAUUCAUUAUACUCGUACAAAAAAGACAGAAGUCUCACCAGAGCUCAGGAUCGGCUCCAACGCGAGCUUCCCUGACCUGGAAAAGGGGAAGCCAGAAAAAGACGACUGCAGACUUCGCGGGAGCACCGCACACCCACCUGACCGCAACAAGGGUGAGCCAGAAGCAGACGAAAAAAUAAAAACAAACACCUCCUGGACCUGCAGCCCAUUAGAUAAUAUAAAACUCAAACUAACCAAAGUCCACUAAUAAACUGUCACCCUUUUGGGGUCCUGCCCAGCCCAGAGAGCACCGAACUCCAAGUACUGCAUCCUCUAGACACUUUUAAAUCAGCUGAAACCGAGCACUUUAAAACUGUAACGUGUCCCAGAAGAUCAGUUAUUGAAGCUGCAAGGUUGUGCAUACUGUUUGUGCUGAUUUUGUUUUAAUAUAGCUUUUAUAACUAUGUUAUUUCUAAUCUUUCCCUUUGCUGGAGAAAUAAGUCUUUCACAGGGAUUGGCUAUAGCUACCAGUUGCUGCAGAUGUGCUAAUCCUGGUGCCCGAGGUUUUCCUGUCUGGAUAAGCAAUUCAGUCAAACUCUAAAAUAGUCAGGAAGGUCAACAUUGCCCGUUAGUAUCCUCCCUCACGUUGCUGUAGUUCAGCAGAAGUUCAGGUAUUUACUUAUAGAACAAAAUAUUGUGUAAAGCCUAGCCACCCAGUUUUCAGACAAUUUGCAGAGUCUCCUCAGGCUAAAACUACUCUUAAACCUACUGUUGCCCAUAUCUCUGAUAACAAUAUGUACCUUCAAUACAUUAAAAAAGUCGCUAAAGCAGAAAACCAAAGUAACUGUUGGGUGUACAGUCAUUUUCUUCUCCACACCCAAGGAGGAAUUCCCAUGACUCCCAUCCCCUUGGGCCCCACUGAGUCACUUUUAAACCCCUCUAAUAACCAAGCUUAGAACCAAAGUCAGCAGGAGUUCCUUUUAGUAAAGCCUGUUGUUGAAAAUUAGUGUUUCUAUGUAAACUGUUCAGUAUCAAACUGCAUCAAUUUAGGCACCAGCAUAUGUCACCACUAUUUUACUAGUUCAAGUGGAGGAGACUGGCGUAAUAAUAACACAGCAACUCCUACCUAUUGCAGCUCUUACAAUGAUUUCUACAGC